UUUUUUUUUAAAAAAAAGUUCUGUUUGUCUGCCAUUUAAGGAGGGGAAAAUCUAUCUCUCAAAUAUUGAGAAGACAGAAACAUGAUGUACUUUGUUCAUUCAAAUAAUGAAGGAAAGUGGCUACAAAAAUAGCUGUUCAAAAAAAAAAAAGAUUCUUUGUGGGUGGGGAUGGGAGGGAAAACCUGGGAGAGAGUGACGGAA